CAGCAGCCACGGUAAAACAGAGGGUGCGAGCGUUAAUCGGAUUUACUGGGCGUAAAGCGUGCGUAGGCGGCUUCUUAAGUCGGAUGUGAAAUCCCUGAGCUUAACUUAGGAAUUGCAUUCGAUACUGGGAAGCUAGAGUAUGGGAGAGGAUGGUAGAAUUCCAGGUGUAGCGGUGAAAUGCGUAGAGAUCUGGAGGAAUACCGAUGGCGAAGGCAGCCAUCUGGCCUAAUACUGACGCUGAGGUACGAAAGCAUGGGGAGCAAACAGGAUUAGAUACCCGCGUAGUACCUGUCUCUUAUAC
rnacentral:rRNA from 1 species